rnacentral:lncRNA from 1 species
CCCUCCCUUUCUUACACUAGAAGAAGAUUCUUUCUGAAGGUCUAAUUCGCUGCAGCGCUGGCUGUGGACUGUGGUGCUUCGGGAAUUUGUUUCCCUUUGCUGGUCAGGGGGACGUAUGGUAGCUAGGAGGGAAAUACACUGAGUUGGUUAGCGGCCGGCCGUUCCAUGAUUGCCGAUGUGAAGCAUCCAUUGCUUCCAAGUUUUGUAUGGCUUCAUGGAAAGCUACUUGAGCGUCUUUGGAAGUCGUUUUUUGGAUUUGCCCUCUGUCUAACUAAAUAAUGAGCUUGGUUGGAAGUGAACGUCAUUUUUGUUUCUUUUUAAUAUGUACAAUUGUUGCCGGUAAGAAAAGAAAAUUGUUUUUGCCGCCCUCUCUAGGUUUCUUAUCCAGUAACGAUGACAUAAUAUUUCCCUCUGUGUUAACAGAGGAGGCAACCCGGGUGGGGCAUUAGGGAUCAGAUCCGAAGAACUACCUUGAUCAGCAUCUAAAUAAGGCUGGAGCUGGGAUUAUGUGUUGACCACUUUAUUGCUGUGAAACAUCACAUCAGACUUUCUUUGGCAAAACCGCGAG